rnacentral:rRNA from 1 species
AUUGAACGCUGGCGGCAGGCCUAACACAUGCAAGUCGAGCGGAUGAAGGGAGCUUGCUCCUGGAUUCAGCGGCGGACGGGUGAGUAAUGCCUAGGAAUCUGCCUGGUAGUGGGGGAUAACGUCCGGAAACGGGCGCUAAUACCGCAUACGUCCUGAGGGAGAAAGUGGGGGAUCUUCGGACCUCACGCUAUCAGAUGAGCCUAGGUCGGAUUAGCUAGUGGGUGGGGUAAUGGGAUACCAAGGCGACGAUCCGUAACUGGUCUGGGAGGAUGAGCAGUCACACUGGGACUGAGACACGGUCCACAAUCCUGCGGCAGGCAGCAGUGGGGAAUAUUGGAGAAUGGGCGAAUGCCUGAUCCAGACAGGCUGCGUGUGUGAAGAAGGUCUUCGGACUGUAAAGCACUUUAAGUUGGGAGGAAGGGCAGUAAGUUAAUACCUUGCUGUUAUGACGUUACCAACAGAAUAAGCACCGGCUAACUUCGUG